AACGAACGCUGGCGGCGUGCCUAACACAUGCAAGUCGAACGUGAUUAGAGAGCUUGCUCUCUAUGAAAGUGGCGCACGGGUGAGUAACGCGUAGAUAAUCUACCUGAUGAUUCGGGAUAACACUUCGAAAGGGGUGCUAAUACCGAAUAAGCCCACGGAGUCCUUGGACUCUGCGGGAAAAGGGGGGGACCUUCGGGCCUUCCGUCAUCAGAUGAGUCUGCGUACCAUUAGCUAGUUGGUAGGGUAAAGGCCUACCAAGGCGACGAUGGUUAGCUGGUCUGGGAGGAGGAUCAGCCACACUGGAACUGAGACACGGUCCAGACUCCUACGGGAGGCAGCAGUGGGGAAUUUUGCGCAAUGGGGGAAACCCUGACGCAGCAACGCCGCGUGAGUGAUGAAGGCCCUUGGGUCGUAAAGCUCUGACAGAGGGAAAGAAAUGCAGGGGGGCUAAUAUCUCCCUUGCUUGACGGUACCCUCAAAGGAAGCACCGGCUAACUCCGUGCCAGCAGCCGCCGUAA
rnacentral:rRNA from 1 species